GCCAGCCGCCGCGGUAAUACGGAGGGUGCAAGCGUUAAUCGGAAUUACUGGGCGUAAAGCGUGCGUAGGCGGUUUAUUAAGUCAGAUGUGAAAGCCCCGGGCUUAACCUGGGAACUGCAUUUGAAACUGGUCAACUAGAGUAUGGUAGAGGAAAGUGGAAUUUCUGGUGUAGCGGUGAAAUGCGUAGAUAUCAGAAGGAACAUCAAUGGCGAAGGCAGCUUUCUGGACCAAUACUGACGCUGAGGUACGAAAGCGUGGGUAGCAAACAGGAUUAGAUACCCUGGUAGUCCACGCCGUAAACGAUGAUAACUAGCCGUUUGGGGGGAUUUACCCUUUAGUGGCGAAGCUAACGCGUUAAGUUAUCCGCCUGGGGAGUACGGCCGCAAGGUUAAAACUCAAAGGAAUUGACGGGGACCCGCACAAGCGGUGGAGCAUGUGGUUUAAUUCGAUGCAACGCGAAGAACCUUACCUGGUCUUGACAUCCUGCGAACUUUCUAGAAAUAGAUUGGUGCCUUCGGGAACGCAGUGACAGGUGCUGCAUGGCUGUCGUCAGCUCGUGUCGUGAGAUGUUGGGUUAAGUCCCGUAACGAGAGCAACCCCUAUCCUUAUUUGCCAGCACAUCAUGGUGGGAACUAUAAGGAGACUGCCGGUGAUA
rnacentral:rRNA from 1 species